AGGGACCUGUGACAGCCAAAGCAGGAGGAAAAAAAAACCCAACAGGAAAGCAGCAAAAUGAAGCAUUCAUAAAUUCAGAAAAGCCAGAUGUAAAGUUGCUAACAAGGAGAAGAAAUGGGUGCACAGAUGAUACCGUCCCCCUGUCCUACAGUGCCACAGUUGUUCGUAACAGCCUGCGCAAGAAAUACCAGCUCAGCUGAUGUGCAAAUCAGAAGCAGUUGCACAUACAAGAGCAGCAAGGGGAUCACAGAGCAUGCUCAUCGCUUGAAAGCAUGAGCUGCCAAACACUGCUCCUGUUAGGCACCAGAGGAUGACAAGAAGACCGAAAGGCUCUAUUCCCAGCUCAGCUGUGGUUCAGUGACCACUGGCAGGUCCCAUGAAAGCAGUGUGCCUGAGCAUGUCCCCCCAUCAGCAGCUUGCAGCUCUGCUCCAUCCUGUCAUCUCUGCUUGGGAAAUCAUGGUGACUUUGCUUCCUCAGCAGUAUUAAAAGCUCCACAGAGACUGUAACUUCAAUGGUUCAAGUCAGCAAAUCCCAGUGUUCCUCUGGCUUCACAAACACGUGGCUGAUUGAAGCAGAAAAUGGAAUUAAGAAC
ensembl:lncRNA